CGGGUACAACGAGUCGCAAACUCGCGAGAGUAAGCUAAUCUCUUAAAGCCGUUCUCAGUUCGGAUCGGAGUCUGCAACCCGACUCCGUGAAGCUGGAUUCGCUAGUAAUCGCGCAUCAGCCAUGGCGCGGUGAAUACGUUCCCGGGCCUUGUACACACCGCCCGUCAAGCCAUGGAAGCCGGGGGCGCUUGAAGUGCGUUGCCGCAAGGCGCGCCCUAGAGCGAAACCGGUGACUGGGGCUAAGUCGUAACAAGGUAGC
rnacentral:rRNA from 1 species